rnacentral:rRNA from 1 species
AGGGUAAGUCGGGACCUAAGGCGAGGCCGAAAGGCGUAGUCGAUGGGAAACAGGUUAAUAUUCCUGUACUUGGUGUUACUGCGAAGGGGGGACGGAGAAGGCUAUGUCGGCCGGGCGACGGUUGUCCCGGUUUAAGCAUGUAGGCGGAGGUUCCAGGUAAAUCCGGUACCUUAUUAACGCUGAGGUGUGAUGACGAGGCACUACGGUGCUGAAGCAACAAAUGCCCUGCUUCCAGGAAAAGCCUCUAAGCAUCAGGUAACAUCAAAUCGUACCCCAAACCGACACAGGUGGUCAGGUAGAGAAUACCAAGGCGCUUGAGAGAACUCGGGUGAAGGAACUAGGCAAAAUGGUGCCGUAACUUCGGGAGAAGGCACGCUGAUAUGUAGGUGAAGCGACUUGCUCGUGGAGCUGAAAUCAGUCGAAGAUACCAGCUGGCUGCAACUGUUUAUUAAAAACACAGCACUGUGCAAACACGAAAGUGGACGUAUACGGUGUGACGCCUGCCCGGUGCCGGAAGGUUAAUUGAUGGGGUUAGCGGUAACGCGAAGCUCUUGAUCGAAGCCCCGGUAAACGGCGGCCGUAACUAUAACGGUCCUAAGGUAGCGAAAUUCCUUGUCGGGUAAGUUCCGACCUGCACGAAUGGCGUAAUGAUGGCCAGGCUGUCUCCACCCGAGACUCAGUGAAAUUGAACUCGCUGUGAAGAUGCAGUGUACCCGCGGCAAGACGGAAAGACCCCGUGAACCUUUACUAUAGCUUGACACUGAACAUUGAGCCUUGAUGUGUAGGAUAGGUGGGAGGCUUUGAAGUGUGGACGCCAGUCUGCAUGGAGCCGACCUUGAAAUACCACCCUUUAAUGUUUGAUGUUCUAACGUUGGCCCGUAAUCCGGGUUGCGGACAGUGUCUGGUGGGUAGUUUGACUGGGGCGGUCUCCUCCUAAAGAGUAACGGAGGAGCACGAAGGUUGGCUAAUCCUGGUCGGACAUCAGGAGGUUAGUGCAAUGGCAUAAGCCAGCUUGACUGCGAGCGUGACGGCGCGAGCAGGUGCGAAAGCAGGUCAUAGUGAUCCGGUGGUUCUGAAUGGAAGGGCCAUCGCUCAACGGAUAAAAGGUACUCCGGGGAUAACAGGCUGAUACCGCCCAAGAGUUCAUAUCGACGGCGGUGUUUGGCACCUCGAUGUCGGCUCAUCACAUCCUGGGGCUGAAGUAGGUCCCAAGGGUAUGGCUGUUCGCCAUUUAAAGUGGUACGCGAGCUGGGUUUAGAACGUCGUGAGACAGUUCGGUCCCUAUCUGCCGUGGGCGCUGGAGAACUGAGGGGGGCUGCUCCUAGUACGAGAGGACCGGAGUGGACGCAUCACUGGUGUUCGGGUUGUCAUGCCAAUGGCACUGCCCGGUAGCUAAAUGCGGAAGAGAUAAGUGCUGAAAGCAUCUAAGCACGAAACUUGCCCCGAGAUGAGUUCUCCCUGACUCCUUGAGAGUCCUGAAGGAACGUUGAAGACGACGACGUUGAUAGGCCGGGUGUGUAAGCGCAGCGAUGCGUUGAGCUAACCGGUACUAAUGAACCGUGAGGCUUAACCUU